ACGGACGUAAUUUUUGAACGAUUCCGAUAAACAAGAUCUCAUUUUAAAGGUAAAAGUUUAUUUAAGUUAAAGCACUUUUCUUUUUCGAAUCUUUCGAAAAGUUUUUACUCUCAUUGAAAAUAGUUUACGUGUGAAAACAAAGCUUUUUUAAAAAUUCGAGAAAUCCGUGUCUCUUUUUUCGAAAACAAAACCUCGUCCAUUAAAAUCCUUUAAAAAUUACGUUUGGAAUUACAUUGUUGGCGUAAACAUUGUUUUUUAACGUUCUUUAAUUUUUUGUGAACAAAAAGUUUCGUACCGUGGUGCUCAAUAAAUUUUUCGGCAAAAGAGAAGCAGCAUCUAACCUUAAUACUAAUUGUCCUGUAAAUGCUGAAUGGUAUCAAUGCAACCACACGCGGAUGGAUACUUAGGCGGAUGCAAAGAUUUGGUGUUCGUGGAUCGAGGUGUAGGUUAAAAAUGAUCGUAUCGAAGAUAGCUAUCAAAGAAAGAGAGAAAGAAAGAGAGAAUGUGUGAGGAAAGCAAAAAGAAGAAAAAGAAGAAGAAGAAGAAGAAGGUAAAGGUGUCCUCCGGGGUUCAACGAUAAUCUCCAUGACCUACGACACGUUCCGAAUUUUUGAUCGUUUCAGGAUGAAACGAGCGAGACGUUCGGCCCUGUUGGAAUAUAUUUUUCUUACUUUCGAGGUUCAGGGUCGAUGCAGACGUUUGCGUUCAAGGUAACAGCAAAGUUUCUAAUGUUUUCCACAAAUGUUUUCACACUCCACUCCUUUACCCCCUCCAUGGUAGAACGGAGAAACAAGUUGCAUCCGUGCUGCGUUAACUCUCCCUCUCCCUUCGGUCCUCUCCCCCUCCUCCCCACGCCAUGGUUUCCUCCUACCCUAGAAUAGAAUCGAGAAAGGGGCGCCUAAAUUAUGCGCGCAAACGUUCAGGUAGUAAAAGUGUUUCCUACGUGCCCGUAGAAGUGAACCGUUGACGUUAGUUUUCUUACCGAGUUUCAACCCCUCUUAACUAUAGAGAGAGAGAGAGAGAAAGAGAAAAUGAAAUAUCUACCGGACUACCUGUCCGAUCCUAAACAAAUAUUUCGUAGAAUUAUUCGAACCAAUUUGAGUAAAUGAAGCCAAAAACUUAUUUCAAAAAUUGGGUAUCGCGAAGCGUCACCGGAGAUCAGAGAUGCGGGUGACGCACUUUCGCUUUCUAAAACCGAUGCGGGGAUAAUACGUCUUCGUUCGGGGUAUUUUUCUUUUUUUUUCUUUCUUUUUUACUUUUUAUUCUUCAUAGAGAAAGUUUAUGAGUACGUUUAUACGAGGUUUUGAGAAAGUUAUCGAAAUAGUCUGUACGUCGGAAAUGUUCGUUCAAAAAUCGAUGAGAGAUUUAUGAAAUGUACGAUACUUUAACGUAGCAUUAGAAAAGUGAAAUAAAGAUUAUUAGGGAGAGUACUUAACGUUUAGCAGUGUAUAGCGACCGGCCAUUAAAACCUCGCGUCCUUUGCCGUGAACGAACCAUGUUCUAGGGGAUUGGCUUUGAACGAUUAUUCCUGCUUUAUCUCGUUGCGCAUGUACGCGCGCGCGUGCGCAACGUCGAAAACGUUAUCGUUUAAGUUCUGUUUUAUAUCUUGGACGAGUAAAGCGUCGAAUGCUCGUAGAGCGUCACUAGCAUUUUAAGUAGUGCCAUUCAUAAUCCGUCAGCUUUGGCCCGAUACAUAUGUAAAGACGAUUCUAUUAUUGCUUCUUAUUUAUGAUUUCCUUCUAUUCGAAUGGCAGUUAUGGCAACGCGCCACGCGGCCAACUGUAACGAACGCGAAUUUAUGUCCCCGUGUCUUUUCUCUAUCGGUAGCUCAUACGUCACGUGAUACAACGAAAGAAAAAUGCGACCGAGGAGAACUACUUGCUUCUGUUCGUUUUCUUUACCCUUAUCCUCUCUCUCUCUCUCUCUCUCUCUUUCUCUCUUUCGCUCCCUUUUAAUAAAGUUUGCAAAUCUGUUCGAUCCUCAUCUCGUGCGGCAUGCUUUUCACGCGUAGUUUGCACGAAGGAGGAAAGCCAGGAGGAGAGCCUCGUGACCCACUAACGUUAACGCCAACUGUUGCAUUUCAAGAAGGAAGAACGACGCUUCUAGCGUCUCUCUUCGAAUAGUCCUUCCGACCAAGACGACCAAGUGGCAAAAAAAAAAAAAAGACGAGAGAGAAAAGAAAGAAGAAAUAAAGAAACAGAAAAAAAUACGAAAACAAAUUUCUCUCUCGCAAUAAAAAAAAAAAAAAAAAAAAGAGAGA